rnacentral:rRNA from 1 species
CACCGCGGUUAUACGAGAGGCCCAAGUUGAUAAAAUACGGCGUAAAGCGUGGUUAAAAGCCCCCACUAAACUAAGACUAAACCUUUCCAAAGCUGUUAUACGCACCCGGAAAUAUGAAACUCAACUACGAAAGUGGCCUUAAUUUCCCCUUGACCCCACGAAAGCUGCGAAA